UCUUUCUUUGCUGGCGAUCGGCGCACGGGUGAGUAACACGUAUCCAACCUGCCCUUUACUCGGGGAUAGCCUUUCGAAAGAAAGAUUAAUACCCGAUAGCAUAAUGAUUCCGCAUGGUUUCAUUAUUAAAGGGUUCCGGUAAAGGAUGGGGAUGCGUUCCAUUAGGUUGUUGGUGAGGUAACGGCCCACCAAGCCUUCGAUGGAUAGGGGUUCUGAGAGGAAGGUCCCCCACAUUGGAACUGAGACACGGUCCAA
rnacentral:rRNA from 1 species